UACGGGGGGAGCAAGCGUUGUUCGGAUUUACUGGGCGUAAAGGGCGCGUAGGCGGUCAGCACAAGUCAGUUGUGAAAUCUCCGGGCUUAACUCGGAAAGGUCAACUGAUACUGUGCGACUAGAGUGCAGAAGGGGCAAGUGGAAUUCCCGGUGUAGCGGUGAAAUGCGUAGAUAUCUGGAGGAACACCGGUGGCGAAGGCGGCAUCCUGGACCGACACUGACGCUGAGGAGCGAAAGCCAGGGGAGCAAACGGG
rnacentral:rRNA from 1 species